CUGCCCCUGCAGUAUGCCCUCCCAUUGGGGCUUCACGGGCAGUUCGCACCGGACGCCGUCUUUGACA
rnacentral:SRP_RNA from 1 species